CUCAGCUUCCGGCGCGGCCCGCGGCGCCCGCUCCCCGGCCGCAGACUGUGCCGCGACCCUAAGCGACAGCGGCGACCGAGGUCAGCGCGGGACGAAGCACGGCUGCGGCCACGGGCAGCGGGGGAGAGGCGAGGCUGGGCACGGCGCGGCCGCCGGAGGCCCCCACUGCAGGAGGGGUGGUCCGGCUUCCGCCCGGAGACCCCCGGCCUCGGCGGCCCGCUGGGCGCAGGCGCGAACUACACUUCCCAGAGGGCGCCGUGGCGCGGGCCGGGGGGCGGAGCCGGGGCCGUCUCCCCGAAGCCUCCUCCCCACCUGCUUCUCUCAGGACCCCAGGAAACUGCGGGGAGGGGCUCCGCGCCGGGUCCCGCCUGGUGGCCAGCUUGCGGGUGUGUUUGUCCGAGGUACGCAUCCGUCCGUCAUCAUCCAUCCAUCACCCAUGCGUGCAUCCAACAGUUAGUGAGCGCAUCCUCUGUGCCAGGUGCGGAUGCUCAGAUGAAGCGGGACCCGCCUCUCCCAGAGAUCACAUCCCGUAAACCAACCGUUUCCGAGGCCAAGGGGAGGUGACCCCAGAAGCUCCUGGAACGUAAGAGGGCCUCAAAUAAGUGUGUGAUGAGUGAACAAAGCAUGAGCCCCUUCACUUCCUGGCCGGGACGCGGCGGGCUGGCGGUGGGGGGCAGGUCCGCCGAGGACUGGGAGCCUCGUCCCGUCUCUGGAGGACCACCCCCUGUUGGAACAGCUCAGAGAAGGUGGGCGUGUGGAGCUCACCCCGCUCUGUGAGACAGAAGCAGGGGUGCAGCGAGGCGGAGAGGCCCGCCGCGGGGGGAGCCCGCUGCCCCCCUUUCCCUGCCCCGUAGGUUCUCUUCCUCUGGAAUAUUUGGGGAAAGAGAAUUUCUCGCCCAGAAGUCUCAGUGCUGUUCCCGGAAGCAGCUCUGGCCCCCCGUAGGUCUCUCCUGGCCUUGCUACUGGUCACCUCCCGGAACUCUGGGGUACAGGGUUGUCAUCCUUGGCCUGGCCUCCACGGAAAGGCGUGAGAGGAGACCACUCUCAGUUCCUGCCCAGCUUCACCCCCGGGCCAGGCCCCCUCCUUCAUACCUAAAGAAUCGCUGGCACAGGACCCGUGUGUGUGUGUGUGUGUGUGUGUGUGUGUGUGUGUGUGUGUGAACCGGGUGUAGGAGGAUGUGAAGAUGUCACAAGCUUCUCACUGCUUGGAAAAGGAAAGCUUAAGUUCAGCAUCUGAUCUCAGGAUCCCUAAAGGACAUAGAGCCAGUGGUAAGCCCCUUGCCUGUGCUGUGUGACCCACGUUCCUGCUGAGGUAGACUUCCUCCUAGUAGCCAAUGUCACCCUUCUCCCAGAGCCUGCCUGCACCCCACCCUCCAUCUCAGGAUCCCUAAAGCUUUAAAAUCACUUAAUUUAGAAAAAAGUAAUGCCUCUACCCAAGACACACCUUUACUGCUGCAUGUAGAAUCUUGACACCUCUUUGACUCAACCUCACCCUAUCUAAGUAGGCUUAGACCCUGCUUGUAGACUCUGGCUCAGCCAUUCCUAAUAUUAAUUCACCAACAUCCAAUUUGCUGAAUGACCAGUUUGCUAAAACUCAAUUUGCUGAGUGGCCAAUUCUCCCCAUGAUUGAGAAACCUUCCUAUCCCUCUACCCCCAAAGUUUUAUUAGUACCUCUGACCCUAUUCCUGCAUCACCCCUGUCUCUGUAUCCGCAUCGCAAGAUGAUUGUGGAGAACUGUCCUAAAUUCCAUUUAAAGUGUUUAUGUGGCAGUUCUGGACACGGACAACGGUAGGAGUGCAGAUGGAACAGAUUUUUUUUUAAUUCUCAAUAAUUCAGAUGGGUUUGGAGCAAAUCAAUAAUCAGUGGUUUCAUUUUCAUCAUAUUUGGCUUUUGGCUACCUGGCUAUUCUGUGAAUUGAUUUUUGGUGAAUAAGCCAGCUAAAGUUUUCCCAAAUAAAUUGGCUAGCUUCCUUUUAUAGAUAAAUGGUACUGUCCACUGCUCCAUGUGAAAAUGGCUGCAAUUUUAAAAUAUUUUCUAUUUUUCAUUAUUUCUUUUUCUACCCAUGAGGUUAUUUAAAAGUACUUUUUAGUUUCAAAAUGUAUGGGUCCUUUUUAGAGUUAUCUUUUUGUUAUUGAGUUUUACCUUGUACUAAGAGAAUGUGGUAUAUAAUGUCACUUUUUGUUUAGGAUUUUCUGAGACUUGCUUUGUAAUCAAGUAUGUAAUAAAUGUUUGAAACUUUGCUUUGAAUGAGCAUGUGUAUUCUAAUGUUGGCUGUAGGGAUCUAGUUAGGUCUAUUAAAUCAAAUUUAUUGAUUGUGUUAUUUGUGUCCUCUCCAUCUUAUCAUUUUAUGCCUUUUGAUGUAUCAGUUACUAAGAAAGAUGUAUUAAAAUAUAUUAAUGUUGUGGAUUUGUCCAUUUCUUCCUGUAUUUCUGACAAUUUUUGCCUUAUAUAUUUUGACACUGUGAAUACAAGUACAGAAUUGUAUUUUUCUGAGAAAGUUCAUUUUAUUAUUAUAAAGCAACAGUCUUUGCCCUAGGAAUACCUUUAGUCUAUAAUUCAUUUUAUCUGAUAUCAAUAUAGCUAAACUAACUUUAUUUUGGUCAGUAUUCAUUUGGUGUAUAUUUUCCCAACUUUUCACUUUCAAACUUUUUAUUUAUGUUUCAGGAGAGCAUUUUCUAAGACCAUAUAGCUAGAGUUUGUUGUUGAAUCCAGAAUGACAAUUUCUGUCUCAAUUGGCAAAUAGUCCAGUUGUAUUUAUUGUGAUUAGUAAUAUAUUUUUAUUCAUUUCUACCAUCGUUUUUGUGCUUUCUAUUUAUUCUGAUGUUUUCCUAUGCCUUUCUUUCCACUCUUCUAUUCGAUUGAUCACUUUUUCUUUAUACACCUUUGAGGAAUUCACCUUGAUUCACAUCUUUCUACUAAUUUGAAAACUAUUUAAUUUAGUCUUCCUUUUCUAUAUAUCUAGGGAUAGCUCUUUAAAUUUUUACACACACAUCUGAUUUGAUAUAGUCUAACAAUAAUUAGUAUUUCCACCCUCUUUCCACACAAAAGAAGGAUUUCAAUGUAUUAGUUCAAUCACAUCAUUCCCCUGUCUUCUGUGUAAUUGUUCUCUAUGGUUAAAUAUUAUUUUUAAGCCCUCCUCAGCUCUUUUUUUUUUUUUUUGUCUUGUAUAAUUGGUGCUGUUUGGAUUUACCAAUGUGCUCACUAGUAUCUUUGUUCACUGUUUUUCCUCUUGCCUCUUUCCCCUUCCUUUUGGGUUCAGUGUUCUUCUUUUGGAAUUACAAGUUUUAAAGGUUCUUCCAGCAAGGAUAUCUUAGAAGUAAAUUAUUUCAGCUAUAUUUCUGUCGCUUUUGACUGAUAGUUGAACUGAGUAGAGAAUUCUAACUUAUGGUCUUUCACUCAGAAUACUUUAUUCCAUUGUCCACCAACCAUCAUUGCUUCUGUUGAAAAGUCUGCUGUCAUUCUAAUUAUGCCAUCAUUGUACCUGAUGUGUCUUUUCUAUUUAGCUGUUUUUAAGAUCAUCCCUUUGGGGACGCCUGGGUGGCUCAGCUGUUGAGCGUCUGCCUUUGGCUCAGGAUGUGAUCCCAGGGUCCAGGGAUCGAGUCCUGCAUCAGGCUCCCUGCGGGGAGCCUGCUUCUCCCUCUGCCUGUGUCUCUGCCUCUCUCUGUGUCUCUCAUGAAUAAAUAAAUAAACUCUUAAUAAGAAAGAUCAGCCCUUUGUCUAUGGUAUUAUGAAGACACUGCAAUGGGCCUAGGUGUGGCUUUAUCUCUUUUGGGAUUCAUUCCUUAAAUCCGAGGUCUUUGUACAAGCCUGGAAAUUUCUCAGCUAUUAUAUAUUUUAAUGUUGCUUCUCCCUUGUUAUGUUUUAUACUUGUAGAAUUCAUAUUUGACAUUUAUCAGAACUCUAUUCUAGUCUUAGC
rnacentral:lncRNA from 1 species